CCUACGGGUGGCAGCAGUGGGGAAUAUUGCACAAUGGGCGAAAGCCUGAUGCAGCAACGCCGCGUGAGCGAUGAAGGCAUUCGGGUUGUAAAGCUCUGUCCUCAAGGAAGAAAAUGACGGUACCUGCGGAGGAAGCCCCGGCUAACUACGUGCCAGCAGCCGCGGUAAUACGUAGGGGGCUAGCGUUAUCCGGAAUUACUGGGCGUAAGGGGUACGUAGGUGGUUUGAUAAGUCUGGGGUGAAAGGCUAGGGCUCAACCGUAGUAAGCCUUUGAAACUGGGAAACUUGAGUGCAGGAGAGGAGAGUGGAAUUCCUAGUGUAGCGGUGAAAUGCGUAGAUAUUAGGAGGAACACCAGUGGCGAAGGCGGCUCACUGGACUGUAACUGACGCUGAGGCACGAAAGCGUGGGGAGCAAACAGGAUUAGAUACCCUAGUAGUC
rnacentral:rRNA from 1 species